CGCUAUCCGAUGAGCCUAGGUCGGAUUAGCUAGUUGGUGGGGUAAAGGCCUACCAAGGCGACGAUCCGUAACUGGUCUGAGAGGAUGAUCAGUCACACUGGAACUGAGACACGGUCCAGACUCCUACGGGAGGCAGCAGUGGGGAAUAUUGGACAAUGGGCGAAAGCCUGAUCCAGCCAUGCCGCGUGUGUGAAGAAGGUCUUCGGAUUGUAAAGCACUUUAAGUUGGGAGGAAGGGCAGUAAGUUAAUACCUUGCUGUUUUGACGUUACCAACAGAAUAAGCACCGGCUAACUUCGUGCCAGCAGCCGCGGUAAUACGAAGGGUGCAAGCGUUAAUCGGAAUUACUGGGCGUAAAGCGCGCGUAGGUGGUUCAGCAAGUUGGAUGUGAAAUCCCCGGGCUCAACCUGGGAACUGCAUCCAAAACUACUGAGCUAGGGUACGGUAGAGGGUGGUGGAAUUUCCUGUGUAGCGGUGAAAUGCGUAGAUAUAGGAAGGGACACCAGUGGCGAAGGCGACCACCUGGACUGAUACUGACACUGAGGUGC
rnacentral:rRNA from 1 species